rnacentral:rRNA from 1 species
UACGUAGGGGGCUAGCGUUGUCCGGAUUUAUUGGGCGUAAAGCGCGUGUAGGCGGCCAGAUAGGUCUGCUGUGAAAACUCGAGGCUCAACCUCGAGCUGUCGGCGGAAACCAUCUGGCUAGAGUCCGGAAGAGGAGAAUGGAAUUCCCGGUGUAGCGGUGAAAUGCGCAGAUAUCGGGAAGAACACCCGUGGCGAAGGCGGUUCUCUGGGACGGUACUGACGCUGAGACGCGAAAGCGUGGGGAGCGAACAGG